rnacentral:lncRNA from 1 species
GUUUUUUUAACAUUAUUAUGGAAAUUAUUUGGGAGAAACAGGAAAUGGGCUCGGAACUUGUUGCAGGCCAGAUUCAAACCUGCAUUUCCCACAUGAGCACCAUGAUUUAACAUGUCAGAAGCAUAUUUGCUUGUCACCACACUAUGGUGCUAACUAAGAAUCAGCAUAUUGAAUAUUAUUAUGAAAAUGAUUUGGGGCAAAUAGGAUCGGGACUUUCUAGGAUCUUUUUAGGAUCAGGCCAGAUUAAAAUCUACAUUACCCACAUGUUCACCACAAUUCAGUGUGUUAAAUGGGAUCAAGACACAUUGCAGAUCAGAUUAGAACCGGCAUCACCAGCGCAAGCACAUUUUAUAUCUGACAGUAGAAUUUCACGGAAGCAUUGUUAGUUUAUAAACUAAUAUGUUGUCUUUUAUUGUUCUAAAACAUUAUUUAUUUCAGGUCACUCCCAACAUCACCAUGAUGUUGCCCCCUGCAGCCCCAGAGCCCCCUCCAGCUCCCACCCCUCCCCCCAUGAUGGAAAGUGGGCCUGUGGCAUAUGAUGAACCCGCUGAGGAGGAAGAGGAGAAUGAGGAAGAGGCGGAGGUGUCUUGCAUUAGCGCCAUGGAGCUGAUAGGUGGAAAUGAAACAACAGAAUUCAUGACAACCUUUCCCUUUACAGACUACGGAUGUGAAGCUGAAGAAGAGGAGGUAUUUUAGACUGCCGUCUGUUCCCCAAACUUCUUCUCAUCCUCCUAUCCACUAUCCACCACUCUGUAUAGUGAGGAGAGGAGAAAUUAAGGCACAUUUGAGACACGUAUAAUAUGCUGCACGUUUAUGAAAGGUAAUUCUCCAUCACAGUGCUUUAUAUGACUGGUUAAACUGCAGCAUAUGUGUGAUGAAUGAGCUACAAUGGGAGAAGGUGGCUGGCAGCUGGCAGCUUUAGACUGAAGAACAUAAAACCAGUUUAGCACUUUGUCAGUGUUCCACUAAAAGUUCAAGAGACAGGAAGCUCUAUAGUAGUUUCCUGAGUGUCUCAGAGAAUUUGUUUUACGGGUGCAGGAUUUGAACCUGUUUGUAAUUCCUUAAAUGUGAGGAUAUUGAUGUCUUCUUAGCUUGCUAAUAAUAUUGAAUGCUUUGUGGGAAAAUGUAAUGGCGAU